rnacentral:lncRNA from 1 species
AAAGUUCCCUGGGAAGCCUGCCUUCUGCUGGGCCAGCUGUUCCAGCCCCCGGUGGCUUCCAGUCCUUCUCAAGCUCUGCGAGAAAGCCAGACCCGAGAAAGCCAGACCUUGGUUUCUUCCGGCUGUAGUGAGGGGACCAGCAUGGCCCUCAGGUAAGCUUCUCCAGAGAUCGUGGGGCGUAAUCUGCAUCUGGCAUUUGACACACGGGCUUGAAAAGUCCCAUGGACUCUCUCUCUCUGGAUCAAACCUGAGAUGGGAACAAUUAGCUCUGUGGAACAGGUAUCUCUGCUUAUGGUCAACAGACUGGAGUCUCGCUCCAAAAGGGAGCAAGGAUAGGAUCGGAAGCGGUCCGAGAAAUACACGCGCUGUAUUAGGACAGACACUGAAUAAGAAAACACCGGGACGAGGAAAAAGGAAGCUAAGCCAAGGGUUCCCUGCCAGGGAAGUUAUCGGAUCCCAGGUACCCAAGGAAAGGAUGGCCGGGCUGACCAGGAAGCAGCACAAGGCAUAUUCUCAGACUUGAAGUAGCUGCCUGCUGAUAAAGGAGAUUAAGGUA